CUCUAACGAUGAUCCACAUAAAAAUUGAACCAAAGAUAGCGCUCCUUCUUCUUGCUUCAAGAGUUCUAGCCCCUAGAACUCAACUAGCCCUGUACCGAUCAGGUUUGUCCAAGAACCUGACUCGACCCUCUUAGAACUUUCUCUGGAUAUUUGAUUCAUCUUUCUUAAGAUCCUCACAACCCUUGUUUGGACUAGAUAAGACUUUAUCUUAAAUCCCAAAGCCUUAUCCUAAAACUAAGAUGGAUUGUAAGAA
rnacentral:lncRNA from 1 species